rnacentral:lncRNA from 1 species
GAAACGGAUCACGUCUAAUGUGGACAUAUCAGACACCUUGUGAAACACUAAAGGAAAAAUUCAGUUUCGAGCUAUGGCACUUGCCGCAUAGAUUUGGGGGGCCUUGCACCAAUAGUAAUAGUUACCACUGCAUCUAGAAAUUUAAAGCAUUCAUGCAGACAAGGAUGAUUAUAUUUUUGGCUACCACGUCAAAUGCCUCCACUAAGUGUUACAAUGCUGCACGCAGCCAUACUAAGGAUCUCACAGCAACACUUGCAGGUAAACAGCAAAAGCAGUUAAAGUGCUGGUGUAUUCUGGACACUGUCUUUGAAAACGUUUAGGCAAGAACAGUGCGAGAAACAGACAUAAGAACUGCAUUUAUUUCUAUAAUUCCCCAUUUGAAUGGCCUUUUCUUUUUCCUUCGACAAUGCCUUCGCCUAGCCACAGCAGCUCCCUCAUACAGACUCCGCAAGCCAAGAGGCCGUGGAGGCAAAUGCAGGUAAGAGGCAAGAAGCAAUAGCACUGGUAUCGACAUUCAUCUAAUUUUUUUCUUUUUCUUUCCCAGCACACCUCGAACAGCCACCUUAACUGCGGGUGUGUUAGUAGAUUCCUGUUGUACAUAUGCUCAUAAUAAACUUCAGUAAACUUGAACUUGAUAAUAAACUUGGAGGCAAAUGG